GGUUUUCAAUUAAAAUUUAUUUUAUAUUGUUUAAAAAGAAAUUUUUAAUAAGUGUAAUUUGAAAAGUAUAGGAAUCUUAGAAAUUUAUUUAAAACUUUAAUGAAUAAGUACUGUAAAGGAAUUUUGAAAUAAUUUUAAAUUUAAAUAUAAUAAAAGAUUUCUAUAUAGAAGUACCUUUUGUAUUAGGUUUAAUCUAAUUAUAAAAAUAAUUUUUGUUCUCGAAUAUAUAAGAGUUAGGUACUUAAAGAGUAUUUGUUUCAAAAAGUUUCUUUAAAUUUACCUAGGUGUGAAAAGUAACACGUUUAUAUUAAUAUCUAGUUAUUCUUUAAAUAAAUUUAGUUUAGCAAUAAUAGGACCAUAAAAAUUUUUUGCUGUCUUACUUAAUUGUUAGAAUAUAGGGGAUGAGCUCUAUAUUAUAAAAUUACAAUAUUUAAUAAAACAUAUUUUGUUAGGCUUAGAAUUAGCCAUAUUAAUAUUUUAUAAUUAAUUUAAAAUUGUAUGAAAUUUAUAGUUGUAUUUAUUUUUAAGGAAUUAUCUUAUUUAAUUUUAGUUUAAGAGAAAAAAUGAUUAUAUUAGUAGAAUUUUUUUAUUACAUUUUUGUAAGUUCCUUGUGAUAUUAUAUAAAUAUAUAAAUAAUUACUUUAAAAGAAUUCGGCAAAUAUAAUUUCCGAAUGUUUAACAAAAACAUUUCUUCUUUUUUAAGAAGUAAGACCUGCUCACUGAAUUUUAAAGAGCCGCAGUAUAUUGACUGUGCUAAGGUAGCAUAAUAAUUAGUCUUUUAAUUGGAGACUGGAAUGAAGGGUUAAACGAGAAAUUAACUUUUUUUGAAGUAAAAAUCUAAAUUUUGGUUUAAGUGAAAACACUUAAAUAUAAUAAAAAGACGAGAAGACCCUAUAGAGUUUUAUAAUUUAAUAUAUUAAGAUUAAUUGAUUUUUAGAUCUAAAUUUAUGAUUUUAUUUUGUUGGGGCGACAUAAAGAUAUAAAAAACUCUUUUUUUAGAAAACUUUAUUUAAAGAAUAUUUUGAUCCUUAAAAAAGAUUAUAAGAGAAAGUUACCUUAGGGAUAACAGCGUAAUUUUUCCUGAGAGUUCUAAUCGACGGAAAAGUUUGCGACCUCGAUGUUGGACUAAAAUUAUAAUGAGGUGCAGAAGUUUCAUUUUUAGGUCUGUUCGACCUAUAAUUUUUUACACGAUCUGAGUUCAGACCGGCGUAAGCCAGGUUAGUUUCUAUCUUUUAUUUUUUUUAUUAUUUGCUUAGUACGAAAGGAUUGGUUAAUAGUAAUUUUUAUAAAUAAUAUUGAGGUUUAUUAAAUAGGUUUAAAAUAAAUUUGGCAGAUAUAUGUAGCAGAGUUAGAAUCUGAA
rnacentral:rRNA from 1 species